rnacentral:rRNA from 1 species
CCUACGGGAGGCAGCAGUGGGGAAUAUUGCACAAUGGGGGAAACCCUGAUGCAGCGACGCCGCGUGAGUGAGGAAGUAUUUCGGUAUGUAAAGCUCUAUCAGCAGGGAAGAAAAUGACGGUACCUGACUAAGAAGCCCCGGCUAACUACGUGCCAGCAGCCGCGGUAAUACGUAGGGGGCAAGCGUUAUCCGGAUUUACUGGGUGUAAAGGGAGCGUAGACGGAUAAGCAAGUAUGAUGUGAAAAUCCGGGGACAAACCCCAGGAAUUGCAUUGGAAAAUGCAUAUCUAGAGUGUCGGAGAGGCAAGUGGAAGUCCUGGUGUAGCGGUGAAAUGCGUAGAGAUCAGGAGGAACACCAGUGGCGAAGGCGGCUUGCUGGACGAUGACUGACGUUGAGGCUCGAAAGCGUGGGGAGCAAACAGGAUUAGAUACCCGGGUAGUC